rnacentral:rRNA from 1 species
UACGUAGGGUGCAAGCGUUAAUCGGAAUUACUGGGCGUAAAGCGUGCGCAGGCGGUGAUGUAAGACAGUUGUGAAAUCCCCCGGGCUCAACCUGGGAACUGCAUCUGUGACUGCAUCGCUGGAGUGCGGCAGAGGGGGGAUGGAAUUCCGCGUGUAGCAGUGAAAUGCGUAGAUAUGCGGAGGAACACCGAUGGCGAAGGCAAUCCCCUGGGCCUGCACUGACGCUCAUGCACGAAAGCGUGGGGAGCAAACAGGAUUGAGAUA